rnacentral:rRNA from 1 species
AACGAACGCUGGCGGCAGGCUUAACACAUGCAAGUCGAACGCAUCCUUCGGGGUGAGUGGCAGACGGGUGAGUAACGCGUGGGAACGUGCCCUUCAGUUCGGGAUAACCCAGGGAAACUUGGGCUAAUACCGGAUACGUGCGAGAGCAGAAAGAUUUAUCGCUGAAGGAUCGGCCCGCGUCUGAUUAGCUAGUUAGUGGGGUAAUGGCCCACCAAGGCGACGAUCAGUAGCUGGUCUGAGAGGAUGAUCAGCCACAUUGGGACUGAGACACGGCCCAAACUCCUACGGGAGGCAGCAGUGGGGAAUAUUGGACAAUGGGCGCAAGCCUGAUCCAGCCAUGCCGCGUGAAUGAUGAAGGCCUUAGGGUUGUAAAGCUCUUUCGUCCGGGACGAUAAUGACGGUACCGGAAGAAGAAGCCCCGGCUAACUUCGUGCCAGCCGCCGCAGUAA